rnacentral:rRNA from 1 species
GACGAACGCUGGCGGCGUGCUUAACACAUGCAAGUCGAACGGUGAAGGGGUCUGCUUUUGUGGGCCCUGGAUGAGUGGCGAACGGGUGAGUAACACGUGAGUAACCUUCCCCCUUCUUCUGGAUAACCGCAUGAAAGUGUGGCUAAUACGGGAUAUUCUUGGUCUGUCGCAUGAUGGGUCUGGGAAAGAUUGCGCCUUUGGGUGUUUUUGGUGGGGGAUGGGCUCGCGGCCUAUCAGCUUGUUGGUGGGGUGAUGGCCUACCAAGGCGGUGACGGGUAGCCGGCCGGAGAGGGUGGACGGUCACACUGGGACUGAGACACGGCCCAGACUCCUACGGGAGGCAGCAGUGGGGAAUAUUGCACAAGGGGCGCAAGCCUGAUGCAGCGACGCCGCGUGAGGGAGGGAGGCCUUCGGGUUGUAAACCUCUUUCGCCAGUGAAGCAGGCCUGCUCCUUGUGGGUGGGUUGACGGUAGCUGGAUAAGAAGCGCCGGCUAACUACGUG